rnacentral:lncRNA from 1 species
UCUAGACGAAUACGAUAUUGCGAUCUUUUUCCAGAACGCAAUUGGGUUUUAAGAUCACUUCCGGAUUUAGGUCUUUUACUAGUUAGUCCUGGUAAAGUCCCCCGGCGUAUUUUUUUGAUUGGUGUUCUUUUCAAGCACUCCCUCGUUCCCCUUAGGGCUAUUCUUUAGUAUGAAAAAAAGUCCUAUUUCCCUUAUCGUGCAAUCAGAGGAGUUUUCAAACGGAGAAGCCUUACACCGGUCGUGCUGUGGCAAGCACUCCCUUAUCCAAACACUUAGUUUAUGGAGUGUUUCCCCCCUUCGGCCUGUGGCCUCCUCCCCCUCGGGGGGAGUUGGUAACAAAUUGAUAAUAUAUGUACGAUUACCACUUAUAUCAUAAACGAUUCUUAUACUUACUAUAGGAGCGAUCUCAAACUGCCAACCAAUGGAGUAGUAUGAUGAAUACAUCGAAUAGUUUGGAGAAGACAUGAAAUGAAACAAAUUUAAAAAGAAGUCGUAACAAAAAAAAGUGGUACUGAGAUCAUUUUGCAAUGACUUCUAUUCUAUGGAAGUUCAGUUGACAUUUUCUUUAUUUUAUUCAGUGUAACAUGUGUGAAGAAUUUUUGUAGUCCAAAUAGUAACUAUAAUAUAUUUGACUCAUUUGGAGGCCAUGGGAAGUAAAAAAUAAUUUGUGCAUUUGCAUUCCAAUGGCUACUUGUACAGGAAAAAAAUGUCUCAUACUGAGAAGUUUGUAUGCUUUCAAUCAUUCGCUGGGUCCAUAUUGAAUGUAUUAACUAAGUAUGCUGAACAACAAUCAUUUGUUAGUGUUGCCACCAGAUGAUAAUAACCAUAUCAUCCUACCCUCAAAAUCUCAAUACCCCACCCUAAGAGUACUAGCUUUGUUACAGUGUCAUCCAAGAGUGGCUUUGAUGUUUUUGUUUCCCUGCAAAAAAGUGAAACAGUUGUGGAGAUUGAUGUUGAAGAUGGCAUUUGCACAAAUCCUGUCAUUCCUUGCUCUCUUUUUUUUUUUGCUCUUUUUUGGAAGCAACAAAUCUUUGCUGCCAAAAAAUCUGAAGGUUUUAAGACCAAUUUAAGAGAAUGGAAAGGUUUCAUCAGACGGUCAUUCAGUCUAGUUCAUUUUUAUUUUUCAGUUUUUUUAACAGAAAAAAAUAAAAGCUAGUUCAUUUUUAUUCUUGGGUUUUUUUAAUAGAAAACAAAUGCAAUACCACACAGGCCCUAGCUUAUUACUAUUCAUCAAUUAUAAAAUAUUUUUAUUGAAAAGGAAAACUCAAAGGAGAUGUGUUAGAACUGAGCACAUUUUGAGCAAUGAAAUGUUCAAAUGAUGGCUGUUAUGACCAUAGCUAAUGUAUCCACAGUAACACAUUAUAUAACACAACAUUAUAAGCAGAAUAAGCCCCCAAAAGAAAAAUUCAAAACCAUGGGGAAAAAAGGAUCCAUUUUAUCAGGCCUUGUUUCAGUCAUAUAUGACACCCUUGUUUUUGACUUUCUGCUUUGGGCAUUGGGAGAAAUGAGUAGAGACGAUUUAGAUUGUGGAGAUGUAAUUCAAGCAUUCCGAUUAUAACUUUAGAGAAUAAAUUAGCAGCUGCCAUUACAACUAUGAUCGAGGUCUAACUUACACUUUAACCAUCCGCAAACAAGAUCACAAGAUAAUUUUCCCAAACAAAUGGAACAAUGAUGCUUGAUUUUAUCUCACCCACUUCUUGAAGCUUGUAAACAGGCCUUCUCCAGAGAAGAUAAAAGAAUAUAACCUGAUUUCCACAACUCUUCCAGUUUGUCGCAUUUCUUCAGUUUUUCAAUAGAAGAUCAUGGAAGCUUAGCAAAGCUUACUCAGCUGAGUGAUGUUUGGAAAUGCUAAGCAUGGCAAAUAUCUGUUGUCUUCUUGACCUGAUCAGAGGCAGCUAUUCAUAAGCUGCACGCCCUCUUGGCUCAUCUGUUGUACUUCAGAAGGAGAUAAAAUCCUAAUGCAUCUAACACAGUUGACAAAUUCCCUACAAGCAGACCAGACAAUAUUUAGAUGUCGGGAAAAUUCGGAGGGAAUUGCAAUUGCAUGGCUUUUGAUGUUGAAUAAGCAGAUGAUGGGCGCUGCUGAUAAUGCAGUUAUAGUUCUCAUUUUAAAGAAAGACAAGAAAAAACGAAUAAGGAGAUGAAAAGAAAGCAGAACCAAAUAAAACUAAGGUGCGGCUGUAGUUGAAUGUGGGUGAUGGCACUUGAAAAAGGGUAAGUUAUGUCGUAAGAGUAUAAUUUCAUACAAUGACAUCUGAAUAUAUCAUAAUAAAUGUAGAGUUUGCCGACAACCAGAAUCCUCCUGUAUGUCUUUAUGUAUUCAUUUUUUAUAACUGCAAGAUUUUACAUUAUAAAACCAACUAUUUACCUGGUUUAAUUCUCCUUAAUGCUCAUUCUCUGCUAGAGGAUAUUAAAAAAAACACAUACGACAGACUUCAACUUAAACUGAACUCGGUUAUAAUAUAUUAUUAACUAUAAGAAGCUUUUCCAUACAUACAUAUGUAUGUAUUUAUAUCAGAAAUGGAUAGCCCCAAGAAGGUACUGAAAUCCACAAGGACUGAUUGACCACAUUACGUUAUUAGUAUGACGCAGUUUUAAUCACAAUCAGCCCACAGCUUUUGGAUAGGCAUGUUCAAGAUUGAGUAAAAGGAGUUGCAGCAUCUAGAGUUGCUGUUGAUGUUUAAUUUUAACCAAAAGCUGACAAGAGGCAUAUAUUUACACGAAAUGCACACGUUGGGAUUUCCACAUGUUGCUCUAAAGAUUUGCCUAACCAUCUAACAAGGAAGUAAUUAUGGCACUUUAUACAUGUAAAAUUGAGUGUUGAAAAUGAUGGCCUAACAAAAGCAUGAUUCAUUUGUGAGAAAGGCAUGAAUAAGAUUGUUUAUUCCUUUAUCUAUGCAUAUUUAGAUAUUAUUUAGUUGGCAUGAGAUGUCAGAUAAGGUAUAAGAUACCUAAGAUCAUAAGACAUUAUAAGAAAAUCAGUUGCAUCAAGCAAGCAAGAAAAAGAAAGGUUCUGACUCCUUAUUCAUCAAGCUUGUCACAGCUAUAAUUAUGGUUAAAAGACCUGACCAAGAUGGCUAACAAUUGUGGAUAACGACUGUAUGAUGAUGACGAUCUUUUCUCAGUUGCCAAAGUAGCGGCUUCAUAUGAAUAACCAAAUAUCUAAGACACAUUGACAAGCUAACAUGAGAACAUGUCUCAUUGACAAAAUACUAUCAUAAGUUCAUAACAGACCAUUUUCUCAGCAUGUGAUAAUUUUUAAAUGUCCAUUGACUUGAGAUAUUUACAUGGACUCCCAUGAAUCUAGUCACUUUAAUGGUCAGGUAACUAGACCAAACUUGGGUUAAGUUAGUAGGUCAUUAGGUGUACAUGUCUUGCACUGAGGACACAUGGAAUGCCAAACAAGAAAUCCACGAUCUGAUGAAGGAGAAUAAUUCAUUUGGGCGAUGAGGAUUCUCAUUGGAUAUUUUAUUCCAUUUAGCAAUUCAUCAAAAUUGUUUGGCACAUUUUUUCUAGAAAAACGAAGAAAUACAAAAUUAUCUUUUAGUUUGAAAAGUAUUUUUCCUAGUAAAUAAGUUUCUACAAUGACUAAUCAAACCCUAGAGCCCAUAAACGUGUGUUUUAGAUAUGCAUUCUAUUGUGUUGCUAUUUUAUCCCAAGGAUCGAAAGAGUUAUUGGUAAUAUUUGUGUGACACUAGUGCAAAUGGUUGUAAUGUCACAUAAAGGAAUUACAUCUCACAAUGACCUGGAUCAUAGAGAGUUGUUGCAAUGUUGUUUCCAAGGGUAGAGAAAACAACUAGGUGAAAUGUUCCCCCAAAAUGUGACAAGUUUGACUAAGAGAUAAUUAAUUGUACACCUAAUGAACUUUUGACUAGACACCUAUAUCCCGCCUUCCUUCAUAGUUCGGUACUGGUACGGGUGGCGUACCAACACUCGGUAUGCCAAAAAAAAAAUCCGUACCGUACCAAUACUAUGCUAGUGUGGCACCGGUAUAGGGUCCAGUACUGACACGGCAAACCUUGGUAUAAACACUUAAGCAGGAUACUAGGUUACCCACAAAUUCCUAGAACAACUGUUUUAGCCUAUGGGAGGUUGUAGAGCAUGUAUAAUAGGCCUACUGGGCUUUGGUCACAUGUAGAGGAUGUGAACUAAGCUAAAAAGGGACUAAGAUAGCAUUGAAGGCUGAGAUCGGGCCUUAGCAUGCAUUUUGGAAAUGUGUCGGUCCUAUUGUCAGUUAACCUGAGAGAGAAUCCUAGAAUUGUCCCAUCUUCAGUUUAAGAAGCAUGAGGGGCCCACUUUAAGAAGAUUACA